GACGAACGCUGGCGGCGUGCUUAACACAUGCAAGUCGAACGAUGAAGCGGGUGCUUGCACUCGUGGAUUAGUGGCGAACGGGCGAGUAACACGUGAGUAACCUGUCCUUUUCUUUGGGAUAACGGCUGGAAACGGCUGCUAAUACUGGAUAUUCAGGCUGCAUCGCAUGGUGUGGUUUGGAAAGGUUUUUUCUGGGAUUGGGUGGGCUCGCGGCCUAUCAGCUUGUUGGUGGGGUGAUGGCUUACCAAGGCUUUGACGGGUAGCCGGCCUGAGAGGGUGGUCGGUCGCACUGGGACUGAGAUACGGCCCAGACUCCGACGGGAGGCAGCAGUGGGGAAUAUUGCACAAUGGACGAAAGUUUGAUGCAGCGACGCCGCGUGGAGGGUGUAGGCCUUCGGGUUGUGAACUCCUUUGUCUCGCGAAAAAGGCACAGUUUUGGCUGUGUUGAUGGUAGUGGGGGAAGAAGCGCCGGCUAACUACGUG
rnacentral:rRNA from 1 species